UGGGGAAUAUUGCACAAUGGGCGAAAGCCUGAUGCAGCAACGCCGCGUGAGUGAUGAAGGCUUUCGGGUCGUAAAACUCUGUCCUCAAGGAAGAUAAUGACGGUACUUGAGGAGGAAGCCCCGGCUAACUACGUGCCAGCAGCCGCGGUAAUACGUAGGGGGCUAGCGUUAUCCGGAUUUACUGGGCGUAAAGGGUGCGUAGGUGGUUUUUUAAGUCAGGAGUGAAAGGCUACGGCUCAACCGUAGUAAGCUCUUGAAACUGGAAAACUGGAGUGCAGGAGAGGAAAGUGGAAUUCCUAGUGUAGCGGUGAAAUGCGUAGAUAUUAGGAGGAACACCAGUAGCGAAGGCGGCUUUCUGGACUGUAACUGACACUGAGGCACGAAAGCGUGGGGAGCAAACA
rnacentral:rRNA from 1 species